UACAGAGGGUGCAAACGUUGCUCGGAAUUAUUGGGCGUAAAGAGCUCGUAGGCGGUUUGUCGCGUCUGCUGUGAAAACUCGGGGCUUAACCCCGGGCCUGCAGUGGGUACGGGCAGACUAGAGUGCGGUAGGGGAGACUGGAAUUCCUGGUGUAGCGGUGAAAUGCGCAGAUAUCAGGAGGAACACCGGUGGCGAAGGCGGGUCUCUGGGCCGUAACUGACGCUGAGGCGCGAAAGCGUGGGGAGCAAACGGG
rnacentral:rRNA from 1 species